rnacentral:rRNA from 1 species
UACGUAGGGUGCAGGCGUUAAUCGGAAUUACUGGGCGUAAAGCGUGCGCAGGCGGUCUUUUAAGUCAGAUGUGAAAUCCCCGGGCUUAACCUGGGAACUGCGUUUGAAACUGAAAGGCUAGAGUGUGGAAGAGGGGGGUGGAAUUCCACGUGUAGCAGUGAAAUGCGUAGAGAUGUGGAGGAACACCGAUGGCGAAGGCAGCCCCCUGGGCUAACACUGACGCUCAUGCACGAAAGCGUGGGGAGCGAUCCGG